GCCUCUAGCUUAAUUAAUAUAAGAGGUACUGCCUGCCCAGUGACACUUGUUUAACGGCCGCGGUAUUAUAACCGUGCAAAGGUAGCGUAAUCACUUGUCUCUUAAAUAGAGACCAGUAUGAAUGGCAAAACGAGAGCCCAACUGUCUCCUCAAACUAAUCAGUGAAAUUGACCUUUCCGUGCAGAAGCGGAGAUAUUUAUAUAAGACGAGAAGACCCUAUGGAGCUUCAAACCAAACAAUAACUUAUAAUAAGUAGUAUAUAUGAAGGUUUUAGGUUGGGGCGACCACGGAGAAUAACACAACCUCCGAGAUGAAAUAACUAGAAGGACACUUCAAAUAAUAAUAUAGUUGACAUAAUUGACCCAAUAUUUGAUCAACGAACUAAGUUACCCUAGGGAUAACAGCGCAAUCCUUUCAUAGAGUUCCUAUCGACGAAUGGGUUUACGACCUCGAUGUUGGAUCAGGACUCCCAAAUGGUGCAGCAGCUAUUUAAGGUUCGUUUGUUCAACGAUUAAAGUCCUACGUG
rnacentral:rRNA from 1 species